rnacentral:rRNA from 1 species
GACGAACGCUGGCGGCGUGCCUAAUACAUGCAAGUCGAGCGAAGUUUUUCUGGUGCUUGCACUAGAAAAACUUAGCGGCGAACGGGUGAGUAACACGUAAAGAACCUGCCUCAUAGACUGGGACAACUAUUGGAAACGAUAGCUAAUACCGGAUAACAGUAUUUCUCGCAUGAGAGAUAUUUAAAAGUUGGUUAUGCUAACACUAUGAGAUGGCUUUGCGGUGCAUUAGCUAGUUGGUGGGGUAAAGGCCCACCAAGGCGACGAUGCAUAGCCGACCUGAGAGAGUGAUCGGCCACACUGGGACUGAGACACGGCCCAGACUCCUACGGGAGGCAGCAGUAGGGAAUCUUCCGCAAUGGGCGAAAGCCUGACGGAGCAACGCCGCGUGAGUGAAGAAGGAUUUCGGUUCGUAAAGCUCUGUUGUUAGGGAAGAAUGGAUAUGUAGUAACUAUACAUGUAAGAGACGGUACCUAACCAGAAAGCCACGGCUAACUACGUG